rnacentral:rRNA from 1 species
UACGUAGGGGGCAAGCGUUAUCCGGAAUUACUGGGUGUAAAGGGAGCGUAGACGGUAAUGUAAGUCUGGAGUGAAAGGCGGGGGCCCAACCCCCGGACUGCUCUGGAAACUAUGUUACUAGUGUGCAGGAGAGGUAAGCGGAAUUCCUAGUGUAGCGGUGAAAUGCGUAGAUAUUAGGAGGAACACCAGUGGCGAAGGCGGCUUACUGGACUGUAACUGACGUUGAGGCUCGAAAGCGUGGGGAGCAAACAGG